CUACGGGUGGCAGCAGUGAGGAAUAUUGCACAAUGGGGGAAACCCUGAUGCAGCAACGCCGCGUGGAGGAUGACGCAUUUCGGUGUGUAAACUCCUUUUAUGAGUCAAGAAAAUGACGGUAGCUCAUGAAUAAGCACCGGCUAACUCCGUGCCAGCAGCCGCGGUAAUACGGGAGGGUGCAAGCGUUACUCGGAAUCACUGGGCGUAAAGGACGCGUAGGCGGGAUGUCAAGUCAGGUGUGAAAUCCUAUGGCUCAACCAUAGAACUGCACUUGAAACUGGCAACCUAGAGUAUGGGAGGGGGAGAUGGAAUUAGUGGUGUAGGGGUAAAAUCCGUAGAUAUCACUAGGAAUACCGAAAGCGAAGGCGAUCUCCUGGAACAUUACUGACGCUAAGGCGUGAAAGCGUGGGGAGCAAACAGGAUUAGAUACCCUUGUAGUC
rnacentral:rRNA from 1 species